GACGAACGCUGGCGGCGUGCUUAACACAUGCAAGUCGAACGGAAAGGCCUGCUUUCCCUUGUGGAUUGCGGGUACUCGAGUGGCGAACGGGUGAGUAACACGUGAGUGAUCUGCCCCCAACUUGGGUAUAAGCCUGGGAAACUGGGUCUAAUUCCCGAUAGGACUGCAGGGUGGUGCCUGUGGUGGAAAACGAUUUUCUAGUGGUUGGGGAUGAGCUCGCGGCCUAUCAGCUUGUUGGUGGGGUAAUGGCCUACCAAGGCGGCGACGGGUAGCCGGCCUGAGAGGGUGGACGGCCACAUUGGGACUGAGAGACGGCCCAGACUCCUACGGGAGGCAGCAGUGGGGAAUAGUGCACAAUGGGCGGAAGCCUGAUGCAGCGACGCCGCGUGGGGGAUGACGGCCUUCGGGUUGUAAACUCCUUUCGACCGCGAGGAAGCCACCUGGUUGGAAGGGUGGUGACGGUAGUGGUAGAAGAAGCACCGGCUAACUACGUG
rnacentral:rRNA from 1 species